UCAAUUUUAUAGUGUGUGAUUUUAUUCUAUUGCAUACAUCCAGAAUGAAAAUGUAUCUGAUUUUAUUGCCAAUCCUGGCAGUCCAGUUUCAUGGGUUGACAGCAGAUUCUGCGUCUGUGACUCAGUCUCCUGCCGUGAAGUCUGCUGCUUUGGGGUCGACGGUCUCUCUGAGCUGUACAGCCAGUAGAGGAGUUGAUGAUGAUCUGAGUUGGUACCUGCAGAAACCUGGACAGCCUCCCAAGCUGCUGUUUUAUAAAAUCAACAGCCGUCAAUCUGCUCCGAGUCAUUUCAGCAGCAGUGGAUCAGAGCCUCAGUUCACCCUGACAAUCACUGGAGUUCAGGCUGAAGAUGCAGGAGAUUAUUACUGUAUGGGUGCAUAUCUAGGCCCAGUAAACACACAGUGGUACAGAGUCGUACAAAAACCUCCCUCAGAUCAGACAGAUGGGUUGCAGACUGGCACGCACCACUGA